rnacentral:rRNA from 1 species
GAUGAACGCUGGCGGUAUGCCUAACACAUGCGAGUCGAGCGGCAGCACAUUAAGCGCUUGCUCUUACGGUUAGCGACUGGCGGGCGAGUGAGAAAUACAUCACCUUCUCCUUUUUCUUGGGGAAUAACGUAAGGCCACUUCCGCUAAUACCGCAUACGACCUACUGGUUACAGCAGUGGAUCUUCACGCCUUGGCCGAUUCAUUUAGCCGAUGUCGGAUUAGCUAGGUUGCGGGGUAAGGGCCCACCAAGGCAACGAUCCGUAGCUGGUCUGAGAGGGUGAUCAGCCACACUGGAACUGAGACACGGUCCAGACUCCUACGGGAGGCAGCAGUGGGGAAUAUUGGACAAUGGGCGAAAGCCUGAUGCAGCCAUACCGCGUGGGUGAAGAAGGUCUUCGGGUUGUAAAGCCCUGUUGUUGGGAAAGAAAAGCAGUAGGUGAAUACACCGCUGUUCUGACGGUACCUAAAGAAUAAGCAACGGCUAACUUCGUG